rnacentral:lncRNA from 1 species
CACUUUCUGGGCAGUUUUGAGUACCUAACACUAAUUUGGACGAAAUUGGACUAAAACUUGACUCAAGACACUUAGAAACACAAACUAAAUUGAUUUCUAACUAAUCUAACACUUUAAAAUAAAUGGGGGAUUUAUUUUGACGAAAUUGGAAUUAAAACAGAGACUCGUAAACAAACUUCAAACAAAACAGAUUGUGAUGAAAUAGAAUGAUGAGAAACUUAGUUAGAGGGUUCCUUAUCCACACAUGAACAUAUGCAUAUAAUUUGAUUCCCAGUUAUGACUUCAACAAACAAUGAAUGACAAUGCUCCAAGUUAAUUAGGUUCGCUUAAAUUAACUUCCAGAUUUCCCUAGAUUCAUUGGAUUGAAUGGGAUACGCAUUACAACCAAAUUAUUCCUCAUCAAAGUCCCUAACUAUGGAAUACGCAUGAUAGAGACAUUCAACAAAGAUCAUUAAGUUCAACGGAAAUCAUAAACAUCGACUAGGCAUUCAUAACUAUGGAAUACGCAUGAUAAUCCAGCCUAGGGUUUACUUAAACACAAUCGUGACUAGCGAUCUUUACUACUCAUGAAUAUAAGUUCAUAACGAUUAGGUGAAAUUCCCUUAUAUCCUAGCAUCAAGUUUAGGCAUGCAAAUUAAGUGUCGACCCUCAACCCACAUACAUAGACAAGUUCUUAAUCAAAACAGAAAAGUAAACCACAUCUAAAGUUCAUGAAUUCAUAACUGGAGUAAAUCAAAUCAUAACCAACAUAUGUCCACGGCUUCAAAUUCGCCUCUAACUAAAAAAGAAAUUAGUUCCACAUGUUUAAACAUAAUUGAAAAGCAAGUUAAAUUAAACAUGAAAACAGAAACAAGGGAAGAAAGAACUCCAAACACUCCACUAAUGGCAGAUUGCAUGUGCAAGGUGUCUUCCUCCUUUGGGCUGCACGGCACUAGUCCUUUCUCUCCUUCAAUGGUGGCUGCACAAGGUGGAUGAAUGGUUGUGGAAGGAUGUAGUAAUGGGUUGGGGAAGGGGAUGGUGCGGCAAAGGUUGUAGAGGUCAGAAAUAUGGGAGUUUGGGGAUGGAAGGUUGCGGCAAGGGUGAAUGAAUGAAUUCUGGCGUGAGUUAUGGGAAUGGGAGGUGGUAGGUUCGGCCAAAAGGUUUUAAGGAGUAUAUAUAGGCACCUAAAAACCCUAGCAAUCAGAUUAGGGUUUCUAGAAACCCAAAUCCACCAGAAAAUAGGUUAAAACAAUCAGAAAUUGCAUGGGAAAAGGCCUAGGGUGCGGCAGGUUUGGUGGGCUAGGGUUAAGGCUUCUAGAAAGCCUUGCAAGGCAAGGAAAUCAGAUAUUUUAGAGGCCUAGGUGCGGCAAAGGGUUAGGGUUUGUAGAUAGGGCUUCUAGAAAGCCCAAAACCAAGAGAACAUAGACCCAACCCACGGCAAGAAGGAGGAAAAUGUUCUAGAACCAUUCUUCGUGUCUUCCAAUGCUUCGGAACCUUCCAAUGUUGCUAAAACGCAAGGCCAUUUAAGUUUAGGAAAGAUCAACCCAAAAUGGAAACUUUUAGGCUUAGCUUUCCUACUUCAAGUAGGAAACCUCGUUUGAGUAGGAAUCUUCGUUCUUCUCGGAAUCCAUCUUCAACUAGGAAUCCCUCGUUGAUUAGGAAUCCUUCUUCAAUUAGGACUCUUCCUCGGACUAGGAAUCCUCAAAUCUUCAAAUCUUCAAUUUCAUCCCAACCUUGUGUUCCAAGCAUGUACUUUUCAAUCCAAGCUCUCAUUUUGCUCCAAAAACUCCAAAUUGCCAUCUUUUAUGUCAUAUGCCCAUUAAACCUGAAAACACAUGAAAGUAGCUUAAAAGACUAAUUUAACUAAGAAAACAUAGUGAAAAUGCAUAAGAACUAGCUAACUAAGGCGCAUAAAUAUGCUCCUAUCAAAUUCCCCCACACUUAGCUUUUGCUAGUCCUCGAACAAAACAAAACGAAACAAAGUAAAACAAAACGAAAAUAAAACACGUAUAACACAACCUAAACCUUCCAACGAUUAUCUCAGGGAUUUCCAAUGCACAUGACAUAUUAAAGAUCAUCAUUCCCACAUAUUUUAGUCAUCUUUACACUUAAGCACACACUUAAUCAUAGUCACCACGUACUAGUUCACCUGUAACCAAUUAAAACAUGAUUUUGAACGUAGUAACAUGCCUUAGAGAAUUUGCUCAAUUCCUCACUAGAUAUGCACUCAAUUUUCACACAGAUUUUCUGACUACCCACCCUAUACUAGUUAUAUGUGAGAGGAUUGAUGUAAAUAGGAAAACUAAUGCUCACAUAUAUGUUAUAACAAGGAAAGCUUUUUCUGAAUUUAAUAAGCAUGAAUAUGAUCUCAUGAAAGGAAUGCUACUACUUAGACGCGAGAACCAGUGACACCAUAUGCUCAUACCAAUCCUAAACUCCACAAAUUGAAAUACACAACACUCAAGAUAGAAGUUAAGGGUUGUAACGGGCUUGGGGUAUUGGCUAACAAAGAAAGGUGAAGGAUCAACAAACGUUCUUAAACCAAUAGUAAGCAAAGCAAUGAAAUUGACACUUAGAAUUCACUUUUGAAUGCAAGAAUCAACUUUUAAACUCAAAGGGGAAAUUCAUGCAACACUUAGGGUCAAAUUCAAUGUUUUGGACCCCUUCUUCAACAACCAACACCUUAGAGCUCAUUUUCAUGCUCUUUCAACUCUUUUUCACACUUUUCACAACAUUUUUCGUUUUUUCUUCUUUUUCCUACGAAUUUUUUAUUUUUUUUUCUCGUGCCUCAAAAUAGACUUUGGCACAUCCCCCUAUCAAAAAUCCUUCCCCCACACUUGUUUUAUGCAUACCCUCAAUCAAAAGGAAUUCAUUUUAAGUCAUGCUUACUAUGCUUCAAGAACAAGGGUAUGGAUGGUCCUAAUCUAGGCUAGGUAAGGAUAAUGUGGGCUAACAAACAAUAUAGGCUAAAUAAGGCUCAACGGGGUUAAACCUACAAAAACAAAUGUAUGGAGUGAAGGCUUUUUGGCUAUGGUGGCAACUACUAAACAACUUCAUCUUGAAUAUGUGUUAUGCAAAUCAAUAACAUGUUUUGAAUGAAAUUGGUAUAAGUUCUAGUAUUUGGAACUAAAGUGAUGAAACGCAUUCUAAGUAGCAACCAAGCAAAGAAUAAUGAGAUCAUGCAACGACUUUAGAAAACAAGAAUGCACAGAUUAAUAACUCUCCAAAUAACCGUUUAGGCUCAAGUCUCACAAGGUUGUAGCGUUAGUUUGAGUUCCUUCCUUCAAGCAUGUUACAAAAACUGAUUUUUUUCCUUUUUGAUUACAUGUGAAUUCAUAAGUUAUAACCACAACCAAGCAUAAACCAAGAUUAAAUCAAACUUUCAUCCAUGUUUAUAACUCUCUUUAACAGUCAUGCAAUUAAAAA